GGUGGUUCUUGGGUGACGCAUCCCAGAAUCGGGCUCCCUCCUCUCUGAUUCCUGGUGCGUCACCCAAGACCCAUA
rfam:Myotis brandtii contig250905, whole genome shotgun sequence.